AUUGAACGCUGGCGGCAUGCUUUACACAUGCAAGUCGGACGGCAGCACAGAGAAGCUUGCUUCUUGGGUGGCGAGUGGCGAACGGGUGAGUAAUAUAUCGGAACGUACCGAGUAAUGGGGGAUAACUAAUCGAAAGAUUAGCUAAUACCGCAUAUUCUCUGAGGAGGAAAGCAGGGGACCUUCGGGCCUUGCGUUAUUCGAGCGGCCGAUAUCUGAUUAGCUAGUUGGUGGGGUAAAGGCCUACCAAGGCGACGAUCAGUAGCGGGUCUGAGAGGAUGAUCCGCCACACUGGGACUGAGACACGGCCCAGACUCCUACGGGAGGCAGCAGUGGGGAAUUUUGGACAAUGGGCGCAAGCCUGAUCCAGCCAUGCCGCGUGUCUGAAGAAGGCCUUCGGGUUGUAAAGGACUUUUGUCAGGGAAGAAAAGGCUGUUGCUAAUACCGACAGCUGAUGACGGUACCUGAAGAAUAA
rnacentral:rRNA from 1 species